CAACGCGAGUAUUUUCAGAAAUAGCCACUUUUUUGUUUUUUUUUUUGUAUUUAUUAAAUUACAUUAUUAACCCUUCUUAAAAUCUAUAAAUACCCUCCCCUCUUCUUCAUUUCCUCACUCAAAAUUAUCAAUCUCUCUCUCAAUUCUCAAAUUACCAAUCACUCUCUUCUCUUCAAUUUUCAAGAAUUCAUAUUCUAAUUUUAUAAUUUUAUUGUCUUUGUUUUCCCGAAUUUAAUUUGACGUAAUUUCUCAUUCAGAAAUCGGAAUUCUAAGCUUGAAGUUCAAGUGUUCAGCAUUGAAAUACUUGCUUGACGUUUGUUCGUGGUAACACCAGAUUUGCGUAAUCAAGUGCUCAAUUUAUUGUCGAAUUCGGUGCACUCUCUCCAACUCUUUCUCUUA
rnacentral:lncRNA from 1 species